rnacentral:rRNA from 1 species
UAGCGGCAGAUGGGUGAGUAACGCGUGAGUAACCUACCUCUAUACCGGAGAUAGUCUUACGAAAGCGAGGGUAAUAUCCGAUGUGUCUUUAGGAAUAUAGGUUCUUAAGGACAAAGAUUCUCUGCAAAAGAGAAUUGUAUAGAGAGGGGCUCGCGCCCUAUCAGCUAGUUGGUAGGGUAAUGGCCUACCAAGGCUAUUGACGGGUAGCUGGCCUAAGAGGGUGGUCAGCCACACGGGGACUGAGACACUGCCCCGACUCCUACGGGAGGCUGCAGUCGAGGAUAUUUAGCAAUGGGGGAAACCCUGACUAUGCGACGCCGCGUGAGGGAUGAAGGUUUUCGGAUCGUAAACCUCUUUCGAUGAGAAGGAUUUGACAGUACUCAGAGAAGAAGCCACGGCCAACUCCGUGCCAGCAGCCGCGGUAAUACGGAGGUGGCAAGCGUUACUCGGAUUUAUUGGGUGUAAAGGGCAGGUAGGUGUUCUAAUAAGUUUUGGGUGAAGGCCUUUAGCUUAACUGAAGAAUUGCCCAAAAAACUGUUAGAAUUGAGGCUGGUAGAAGAGAGUGGAAUUCCCGGUGUAAGGGUGAAAUCUGUAGAGAUCGGGAGGAACUCCAGUGGCGAAGGCGACUCUCUAGUCCAGACCUGACACUGAGCUGCGAAAGCUAGGGGAGCAAACAGGAUUAGAUACCCUGGUAGUCCUAGCUGUAAACGAUGAGCACUAGGUGAUGGAAGAUUAAUCUUUCAGCGCCGUAAGAUAACUCGUUAAGUGCUCCACCUGGGGACUACGGCCGCAAGGCUAAAACUCAAAGGAAUUGACGGGGGCCUGCACAAGCGGUGGAACAUGUGGCUUAAUUCGAUGCUACGCGAAGAACCUCACCAGGGCUUGACAUGCAGGAAGUAGCGAACCGAAAGGGGAGCGACUUGUUAAACCAAGAACCUGCACAGGUGCUGCAUGGCUGUCGUCAGCUCGUGCCGUGAGGUGUUGGGUUAAGUCCCACAACGAGCGCAACCAUCGCCCUUAGUUGCCACCAGUUCUAAGGAAACUUAGAGGCUGAGCACUCUAAGGGGACCGCCUGUGAUAAACAGGAGGAAGGUGGAGAUGACGUCAAGUCCGUAUGGCCUGUAUGCCCUGGACUACACACGUGUUACAAUGCCUGCUACAAAGCGUUGCCAACCUGCGAAGGGGAGCUAAUCGCAAAAAAGUAGGCUCAGUUCAGAUUGGAGUCUGCAAUUCGACUCCAUGAAGACGGAAUCGCUAGUAAUGGCGGAUCAGCUAUGCCGCCGUGAAUACGUUCCCAGGCCUUGUACACACCGCCCGUCAAGCGAUGGGAGCGAGGAGUACCCGAAAUUCCACGUUAUGUGGACUGAAGGUAAGCUUGGUAACUGGCGCUAAGUCGUAACAAGGUAACCG